CCUACGGGUGGCAGCAGUGAGGAAUAUUGGUCAAUGGGCGGAAGCCUGAACCAGCCAAGUAGCGUGCGGGAUGAAGGCCCUACGGGUCGUAAACCGCUUUUGCACGGGGAUAACACCCUCCACUUGUGGCGGUCUGCAGGUACCGUGCGAAUAAGGGCCGGCAAAUUCCGUGCCAGCAGCCGCGGUAAUACGGAAGGCCCGAUCGUUAUCCGGAUUCAUGGGGCUUAAAGGGAGCGUAGGCGGGCGUUCAAGUCAGCGGUAAAAUCGCGCGGCUAAACCGGGCCCCGCAGUUGAAACUGGAAGCCUUGAGUUCACAACAGGCAGGCGGAAUUCGGGGUGUAGCGGUGAAAUGCAUAGA
rnacentral:rRNA from 1 species